rnacentral:rRNA from 1 species
CGCGUAGGCGGUGCGGUAAGUCACCUGUGAAACCUCCGGGCUCAACUCGGAGCCUGCAGGCGAAACUGCCGUGCUGGAGUGUGGGAGGGGUGCGUGGAAUUCCCGGUGUAGCAGUGAAAUGCGUAGAGAUCGGGAGGAACACCUGUGGCGAAAGCGGCGCACUGGACCACAACUGACGCUGAGGCGCAAAAGCUAGGGGAGCAAACAGGAUUAGAUACCCUGGUAGUCCUAGCCCUAAACGAUGGAUGCUUGGUGUAGCCGGUACCCAAUCCGGCUGUGCCGCAGCUAACGCGAUAAGCAUCCCGCCUGGGGAGUACGGUCGCAAGGCUGAA